AAGUCACACAGACGAGCCGAGAGGUUAUCCGAGUGACUUCCGCAUGAGAUGUCUUUUGUCAUCUGUAAAUAGGCGGGCGAAUAGGGAGAGGGCAAGCCUGGUGUCACCCGCCGCGGUAAUACCAGCUCCUCGAGUGGUCGGGGCGAUUAUUGGGCCUAAAGCAUCCGAUAGCCGGUUCCGUAGGUCCUCUGUUAAAUCCAACCGCUAAACGGUUGACCUGCAAAGGAUACCGCGGGACUAGAAGGCGGGAAAGGCGAACGGUACUCCGCGUGUAGGGGUAAAAUCCUUUGAUCCGCGAAAAACCACCAUUGGCAAAGGCGGUCCGCCAAAACGCGCUCAACGGUAAGGGAUGAAAGCUGGGGAAGCGAACCGGAUUAAAUACCCGGGUAGUCCCAGCCGUAAACAAUGCUAGCUAGAUAAUUCAUUCGCAAGUCGCGAAUGAAUUGUCGCAGGGAACCCGUUAAGCUAGCCGCCUGGGGAGUACGGUCGCAAAACUGAAACUUAAAGGAAUUGCGGGGGGAGACAAAAA
rnacentral:rRNA from 1 species